CAUACAAUCCUCAAGUGGCACCUCCUCCCAAGCCGCUUGAUGGUUUCAAAACAGAGAUUUCCUCCCAGUUCUCUGUUUACUAGCUUCGCCCGUCGUUCCUCCCAUCGACGGGCGUUAGCU
rnacentral:sRNA from 20 species